AAUAUUGCGCAAUGGAGGAAACUCUGACGCCGCGACGCCGCGUGAGCGAUGAAGGUCUUCGGAUCGUAAAGCUCUGUCCUUGGGGCAGAAGAUCGUAAGUUUUGACGGUACCUGAGGAGGAUGCCCCGGCUAACUCCGUGCCAUCAGCCGCGGUAAUACGUAGGGGGCAAGCGCUGUCCGGAAUUAUUGGGCGUAAAGGGGGCGUAGGCGGCUUUUUAAGGCAGAUGGGAAAGACCACGGCUUAAACGUGGGGUUGCAUUUGGAACUGGAAGGCUUGAGUAUCGGGGAGGGUAGUGGAAUUCCCAGUGUAGCGGUGAAAUGCGUAGAUAUUGGGGGGAACACCAGUGGCGAAGGCGACUACCUGGACGAAAACUGACGCUGAUGCACGAAAGCUAGGGGAGCAAACA
rnacentral:rRNA from 1 species